CGCCCCGCCCGUGUACAGCGAGGCGCACUCUUCCGUGUUCUUUUGUUUUUGAGUAUUUUUUGUUUUGUUUUGUUUUGGGUUUUUGUUUGUUUGUUUUGGUUUCCGCUUGGUGGACGCUGGGUUCCUGCGCCGGCGAGUCCAAACCGUCAGGUUAGGAAACUCGGGGCCCCUUCGCUGACCUGGGCCGCUCCUUUAGGGGCCCUGGGCCUUGAGGACUUAAAUACUGGGCAGAGAACAUCCAGGAAAGGGUCGCGAAAGAUGGACAGACAUUGUUGAUGGUAGCCGGUUGCUCUAGACUCUGAGGAACAUUGGCAGGGGCAAAAUCACAGAGGACAGGAUCGGAAUGAGACGCUAGUGGUGGUGCACGCCUGUGAUCCCGGCGCGCGGGAGGCAGACCUCGGAGGAUCGCUGUCAGUUCGAGGACAGCCUGAGACUAUAGAGAAGUGCUUGAACAGCAUCUCCAGCUUGUCCUCCUGCUUCACCACGAUGAGCUACGGCCAGAAAGCAGGGUUGUGAGACAGGGCUGAAGAAAAUGAAGCAUCCCCAGAAAUCAGCAGAUCACUUCCCACCUCCCUUCCAGCUGAGGACUUGACAAGGUGCCACCAGACUGAAGACUCUCCAUCUAUUGGCCCUUCUGCUCAAUUCCUGGCCUUCAAUGGUGGGAUUUUCCCACCCUACCUCUCUUUACCCCCACCAUUACCUGGUGAUGACUGCUCGAGACUCAUUGACAUUGACCAAGAAGCCAUCCAGCAGCGGCACAAACAUGUCAGCCACGUCAGAUACAACCAUCAUCUGUGGCUGAGCCAAUGAGCUCUUCACAUUGUAGAAGUGGAGCACCUUAUUGUAGGUGACAAAGCCAACCCGGAUUGCUGAUUCUUCUGCCCCGCCCUCCCUGUAGAAGGUGACAUUGUUACCCAGGCUGGCCACCUUUAUCGCCACCCACUUCAUCAUCACAGUGCACCUGCCCGGUCAACCCAGACAUCCCGCCAUUAACCAGAGGAAAGCGGCACCCCAGCUCCAUGAUUCUCACCUAGCUCCUGGAAAUGGACUUGCAUCUAUCUGACUGGAGGAAGAAUGAAGAUGCACUGAAGGCCCUCACCCAGAAUGCCAGCCUCUGCCACGUACCAUCGUUGACACAGCUGCAGAAGCAGCACUGGAAACGCCUCCCUCCCUCAACGAACUGCAUGAAGGGGCACAUGUAUGCUUUGCAGCGAUUACAGCGCAGAGGGCCAGACUCCCCAUGGUCCACGACAUAAGGCUCUGAAGGUGGAAGGCCUGGUCUCUGUUAAAGACUGAUGAAAGUUGCAUCCACAGCUGACAACCACAGUGAAGAAACCGCCGUAGGGAGGAGUUAAUGCCCCUCUCACCUUGAUCUUUCACCAGGAAGUUGGUAGUGACUAAGGGUGGCACCUGGCCCCGUACACCGGUAACAAAUGGCUCUGAACCCCGGUUGUUCCUGUCGUCCUCAAUAACCUGAAUCUGCAGGAAAGAAGUGAAAUGAGUGAUGGGAUAGAAGAAAAGGAAGUGGCAGAUCCCAAGGUGCCAGGAGAAUGGCAGGCGAGAGCCGCAGCAGAGAAACCAACAACUCGUGCACCGGGCCUGCUCUCCUGGAGACCACAUCAAGCUGGACAGACCAUGGCCAGCCGGGGUUCCGGAUGAAUCCGCCACGGGCCCCAACAGCUGGUGAGCCCCAGCUCUGAUCCCAGACAUCAGACAUGGUUGGAUUCGCCUCUCCUCCCCCACCAAGUCUUUCCCUCUUCUUACCCAAGACACAUUGAGUCAGAGCAGGGAGAACAGAUGAUACUAACUCAUGUAGAAAUGAAAACUACCUGGAAUGGCUCUACACUCAAUGAAAACAACAAGGGAGAGAGAAUUAGCAGCCAGGAAUGAUAAGGAAGGCAAGGAAGCCGAUGCUGCCCUCCUUUCAGGCUACAGACAAACCAAACUGGAAGGUUCUGCUGCUCAACUCAAUCUGGUUCCAUCAAAUGCCACACACAGGCUCCAGGAGGAGCCAGCAGGACUAAAAUCAAAGCUGAACAUGCCACCUGCCCCCAUCCCUUAGAACCUGACCGUCCACCGUCCCACAUUCAAGGCACUGCUAAACAGCUUGCUUCUCUUCAUUACAGGUGACUCGAGGCAUGCAUAUCCUUUAGCUUGUAAAGCAAGGAUCUAGAAGGACUAAGGGAGGAGGAUGGAGAGGGAUGGACAUGGUGGAUGAGGUGGAGAUGAGGUCACAGGCAUGCAUGAGUGGCACUGACACAGGAUGACACGCACACACUCCCACCACUGCACUUACGGGACUGGGAAUGGCAUCAGGGUCUAUUCUGUGCCUGGUUUUCUGCUGUGGAGGCAGCUCAUUGAGUUGCUUUUAGUGUUUUAACAAUAAAGGCAGCAGGGGAGUACAGGGAGGGAGACAAAAGAACAAGAGGCAGAUGUUACUUCUCUCGACCCUGAGGAGUUAAGCUGAGCUGGCACCCAGCUCAGACUAUUAAAAUCAGAGUCCAUUUAGAAAUGUCAAGUCUCUGUAGUCCAACAUAGAGAACUCAGUAGCUCAGACUACAAUGAAAAAGAUAAAGGGAGGGAGGAGAACCAGGAGGCAAUGGGGGGCUAGAUGGGAGAAACCUCCAGGAAAAACAGGAAUGCUCCUCCACAAGGCCAACCCUCCUGUCUAAGGACACUGCUGAAAGAUGCCUGGGAUGUGUCCAGCUAGACUCUCCUUCCCACCAUGAACGAUGGGACAGAAAGGAGGGGCUAUCAAUCCUCUUGUGUUCCCCUCAGUCAGCAGGCUCCCUCACCGUGGUGGUCCCCAAAGUCAAAAGGAAAAGAACAGAAUGGAAUAUGACAAUGGCUAAGUAUGGUGGGGUAACUGACAUAGCAAUGUUACAGACAGGAUAUAAAGUGGCCCCUGUUGGGAAUACUCCUCUAUCCCCCCACUCUGUUAAGGAGGGUAUGAAGAUUCUGAUGGCUCUACGGUGAGAAGCACCAUCUUCCUGGGAGAAGCAGCUUCCCCACUGGAACAUUACUUGCGUACUAUCCUCAUACCUACAACGGCAGAUUCCUUUUCUCCAUCCAUACUGCACAGACUUGACAAGAGGAGGGCACCCUACUACAACACUGGCCAAGCAGGAGCAGAGAGGAACCAGUGACACUUUCCUGUUCUGACUAUGUAACACCAGAGACCUCACCUGUCCUAGCAAUCAGGAAGAACGAUGUCCUUCUAAAGCAAAGGGGACAAAAACUAGUCACUACUCCACAAACGAGCAAAGGUAACCAUGGUAUGUAUGUCCAAGAGUGACUGCGCACAGCCCUCACCCCAUAGGCCUAUCAACACUGCUCAGCACUGUUGGUUUCUCUUUCUACCCUGAGCAGCUGUAGAGUAAAACUGCCCCUAAAAGACCUCUGGGAUUUCACGUUCUAGGCCAGACUCGAAACUUACAUCUAGAUUCUAGGUCUUCCAAGAUGAUGAAUGGAAAGGGAAUGUUGUCAGAAAAUGCUAAGCACCUUAUCUAGGUCAGCCUGCUUUUCUGGUAGAUAUAUGCACUUCCUCAGGACUGCAUAAGCAUCUACUUACAGGGCUGGGGAUGGCAUCAGGGUCCAGGCGCUUAGGAGGCAGUGGCUGAGGAGGCCCGGGCUGACUGCCAAAGUUGGGCGCUCCAGGGUAGGGACCCCCAUAACUGGGCUGAGGGCCUCCGGCUGGUCCAAAAGAACCUGAGAAACAAGUGCACAAUGUUGAUGUACUCAAAAUCCCCUCCUGGUCUCUUCUAAAGCCCUUGGGGGAAAUAACUAGAUACCUUUAAACCUAGAAUUAUGAGGUAUAAGCUGGAUAUGGUGGCUCAUGCCUUUACUCCCAGCAAUCAGGAGGAUGAGGUGGGAGAAUUACUGUGGGUUUGAGGCCAGCCUAGGGCAACAAA